GAAGGGCUCUAGCUCAGUGGUAGCGCAUCUGCCUAGCUUGCAAAAGGCUCUGGGUUCAAUCCCUGGCAUCUUCA